UAGAAGUACUGCACUCGUUUUAGUGGCGCCCGCGUCAGCUUGCCUUAUUAGGGUAGGAGAAGUGCAACGUGUGGGCGCCUAGAGUCGCAGGAGGCACGCCAAAUCUCCCCAGAACUCGAGCGGCCCGUGGCUGACUAAGCGACCAGGCGACAGUGGUCUUGUAAACAAAAUUCCACGAUGAGUUUCAUUUUACUGCUGCGGAUGCGGUAGAUAAGGACAAGGCGGAUUACUUUUGAAUCACUGCAGACUGCAGUGUUCAUUGGAAAUUACUAAUUGGUUUCGGCGAAUCACAAAGCGUUCGAAUUGGGUGAUGACGGAUUGAACGGUAUAAGGUAACAUCACGUAGCAGAGAGCGAUUGUGCAUUGGAACCGACGUUGUUCGUUCGUAAUUCAACACCGGGCUAGUAUUGACCGGCCUAGCCGAGAACCAUGAUCGUUUACCAUAUUUGAGCUUGUCGGAGUUUCUAACGACUGGAGUCUAGCGACAUAAAAUUAUGCAUUUGAACUCGAUUAUCUGCAGUGUUACAGCUGUUUAUGUAGGCGAUUUUUAAGAGUCAAUAAAGAAUCAGUUUUCCAUCAAA